AGAGUUUGAUCAUGGCUCAGGACAAACGCUGGCGGCGUGCUUAAUACAUGCAAGUCGAACGGUACCCCUUCGGGGGUAUAGUGGCGGACGGGUGAGUAACACGUAGAUAACCUGCCCUGCUGCGGGGAAUAACAUCUCGAAAGAGAUGCUAAUACCGCAUAAGCUCUCGUUUGUGAGAAUGAGAGGAAACCUGCCUUUUCGGAGGUGGGGCUGCAGGAGGGGUCUGCGGCGGAUUAGCUAGUUGGUGAGGUAAAGGCUCACCAAGGCGACGAUCCGUAGCUGGUCUGAGAGGACGGCCAGCCACACUGGGACUGAGACACGGCCCAGACUCCUACGGGAGGCAGCAGUAAGGAAUAUUCCACAAUGGGCGAAAGCCUGAUGGAGCGACGCCGCGUGAGGGAAGAAGGCCUUCGGGUUGUAAACCUCUUUUGUGGGGGAUGAUAGGCGGGAGCCGCAAGGCCACCCGAUAGGACAGUACCCCGCGAAUAAGCAUCGGCUAACUACGUGCCAGCCGCCGCGGUAAUAC
rnacentral:rRNA from 1 species